rnacentral:lncRNA from 1 species
GUGAGGAGGGAGAACUAGAGCACUGUGUCUGAACCCUCCUCCUGGGGUUCCCCAUCAGACCAGAACAGCAGUACAUUUUCUUCACCCUACUCCUGGCCAUGUGUCUGACAACUGUGCUCUUCAUCCUGCACAUCCUGAACUCAUCUCCACACCCUCAUGUACUUAUUCCUCAUCAUCUUGCACAUAUGGCUGGAUUCUCACCCCCAAGUCCCCAUGUACUUCUUUCUCAGCCACUUGGCUUUCUGUCUCAUCAGUUACUGUCUCAGAGAUGCUCUGGAGCAUCCAGACUCAGCACCUAAGCAUUCCCUAUGAGGGGCAUUUCUCAAAUCUAGUUUUUCCUUACUUUUUCUAUAUGUUGGCAAUUUGCUUCUUGAAAUGGUGGUCUAUGAGAGGUAUGUGUCUAUCUAACAUCCACUGUAUUACACCAUUGUGAUGAGGGAGGAGCUGUAUGACUUACUGGUGUCUGGGUGUUGCUUCAUUUCUUAUAUACAUACCCUGUUGCAUACUCCCUCCUGUGUCAUCCAUCCCUUACCAUUUCUGUUAUUUCAAUGAGCACUUGAAGCUGUCCUGCCUAAACACCCCCUUCAAUGAGUUAGUGAUCUUCAUUGAGGGAGUGUUGACUUUCCUGCCACUGGGUACCAUUUCAGGCCCUUAUAUCUGUACUGGGGCUACUGUUCUAAGUGUCCCUCCAUGAAGAAUAUCUACAAAGUUCUUCAUGGUGCUUUUGCACUAUAGGUACUUGCAAUUAUUUAUUUCUUUCAUUUCUCAAAUAAUUCCAAAUUUAAGGUUGUGAUUGUUUCAGUUAUGUACACAGUGGUGACAACCAUGCUGAACCCCUUCAUCUACAGCAUAGAAAUAUAAAAAUUGGCACAUGGACCACUUUAUAGAAAAGAAGUUAACUGUCAA